UACGUAGGGUGCGAGCGUUGUCCGGAAUUACUGGGCGUAAAGAGCUCGUAGGUGGUUUGUCGCGUUGUUCGUGAAAACUCACAGCUUAACUGUGGGCGUGCGGGCGAUACGGGCAGACUGGAGUACUGCAGGGGAGACUGGAAUUCCUGGUGUAGCGGUGGAAUGCGCAGAUAUCAGGAGGAACACCGGUGGCGAAGGCGGCCCUCUGGACCGAGACUGACGCUGAGGCGCGAAAGCGUGGGGAGCAAACAGG
rnacentral:rRNA from 1 species